rnacentral:tRNA from 1 species
UUUCAAAUGGCAGAUUUAAUGCGUAGGCUUUAAGCGCCUGAGAUGGGUAUUCCUUUGUUU